GCCGCGGUGGCGGAAUUGGCUUACGCGUACGACUCAAAAUCGUAUGGACUUUGGUCCGUGUGGGUUCGAAUCCCCCCCCGGGCA
rnacentral:tRNA from 1 species